UACAGAGGGUGCAAGCGUUGUUCGGAAUCACUGGGCGUAAAGGGUGCGUAGGCGGGUCUUUAAGUCAGGGGUGAAAUCCUGGAGCUCAACUCCAGAACUGCCUUUGAUACUGAGGAUCUUGAGUUCGGGAGAGGUGAGUGGAACUGCGAGUGUAGAGGUGAAAUUCGUAGAUAUUCGCAAGAACACCAGUGGUGAAGGCGGCUCACUGGCCCGAUACUGACGCUGAGGCACGAAAGCGUGGGGAGCAAACAGG
rnacentral:rRNA from 1 species